UACGAAGGGUGCAAGCGUUACUCGGAAUUACUGGGCGUAAAGCGUGCGUAGGCGGUUCGUUAAGUCUGUCGUGAAAGCCCUGGGCUCAACCUGGGAAUUGCGAUGGAUACUGGCGAGCUAGAGUACGGUAGAGGAUGGUGGAAUUCCCGUGGUAGCGAUGAAUGACGUAGAGUAUCGGAGGAAGACACCCGGUGGCGAAGGCGGGCCUCUGGCCAUACUGACGCUGAGGCACGAAAGCGUGGGGAGCAAACGGG
rnacentral:rRNA from 1 species